GACGAACGCUGGCGGCGUGCUUAACACAUGCAAGUCGAACGGUGAAGCGAGUGCUUGCACUCGUGGAUCAGUGGCGAACGGGUGAGUAACACGUGAGUAACCUGCCCAUCACUCUGGGAUAAGCACUGGAAACGGUGUCUAAUACUGGAUACGACCAACCCUUGCAUGGGGUUUGGUGGAAAGAUUUAUCGGUGAUGGAUGGACUCGCGGCCUAUCAGCUUGUUGGCGGGGUAAUGGCCCACCAAGGCGACGACGGGUAGCCGGCCUGAGAGGGUGACCGGCCACACUGGGACUGAGACACGGCCCAGACUCCUACGGGAGGCAGCAGUGGGGAAUAUUGCACAAUGGGCGAAAGCCUGAUGCAGCGACGCCGCGUGAGGGAUGACGGCCUUCGGGUUGUAAACCUCUUUCAGCAGGGAAGAAGCGAAAGUGACGGUACCUGCAGAAGAAGCACCGGCUAACUACGUG
rnacentral:rRNA from 1 species